GAGGCACUGGGUUUGAGCCUCAGCACCACAUAGAAAUAAAUAAAGAUAUAGUGUCCAUAUACAACUAAAAAAGAAUUAAAAAGAACAGUUUCUGGUGCAAUACAAUUAGACCACCCAGCUCUCCCUUAGUAGGGUAGAGAUGGAGGAGUUAUCAAACACUUCACCUGUAGAAAUAAUCCAGGAGAGUAAGUGUGUAUGUAGGAUACGUUAUUUUAGGGCAUUUGGUUUCAAAUUUUUUUUUAGACUGCACUAUGCUUUGACCAUAUUUUUAUCUCCUUCGUGAAAGUUGAUCUCAGAGGUGAUUUUUUAAUAACUCACCAUGUUUCUCGUAAUCAGGCAUACAUGAUUAAACUCAUCCUCCUGUGUUUUUCCUUCAUUUGAAUUAUAACAAAUUUUCUCUUUUGAGGUGUGUACAUGAUUGUGUGUGUGUGUGUGUGUGUGUGAAUGCAGAAUAAAGAGAUUGAAGACAGCAAUGAACUGAAGACUUGGAACAGAUAUUAGGUUAAUGUUCAAAGACCUUUCUACUCUCACAUCUAGCACUGUGAGAUGUCAUUUGUUAUCCCCCACCCCUGGCCCCUGUCAUAUGCAAUCUUUCUCCGCUUUCUCUGGAAGCAUUUUAAAUUUUCUCCUUAUUUAUUUUUUCAUUUCAAGAUGAUAUUUUUGGAAUUUUUUUGUAUUUAUUGUGGGUCAUUUUAUUGAAGAAUUUGUGUAUUGCAAUUCUGGAUUUCUUAAUCUGGCAGUACUUUCUCUGUUGUCUUUUUCUGUAACUUUUAUUGAUGGACUGUUGUUCUUUCUUGACUGAUCAUCUUAUUUUGUUUUAAUCUUUUAUUUCAAUUUUCUGAAAUAUUGCCUACAGAUUAUUCUUAAAUCCUUCUAUUGAAUUUGCUUUUUCAUUUUGAU
rnacentral:lncRNA from 1 species